UUUUUUUUGAGAGAAAGGUAGCACGCUACCCGCUUCGUUUAUUUCAUUUAGACAUAAACUUAGCUAGAAAUGUAAAUCAAUUAGGAUUCGAACUUGGGUCUCGGGUAUCAACCACCAAACCCUUUGUCACUUGCUCUAGAGACGGUCGGUCAUUCUGCAAGUUGUUAAAACCUUUUUAGAUCUGUCAAAUUCAAUCUUAAGUACUAAGCAGAUCCUUUAUCCAUUUGUUUGAUCAUUCC
rnacentral:lncRNA from 1 species